rnacentral:rRNA from 1 species
UACGUAGGGUCCGAGCGUUGUCCGGAAUUACUGGGCGUAAAGCGCGCGCAGGCGGCCCGCGAGGUGUCACGUGAAAGCCCCGGGCUCAACCCGGGAGGGUCGUGGCAAACCGGCGGGCUUGAGGCCGGUAGAGGUGGGUGGAACUCCUGGUGGAGUGGUGAAAUGCGUUGAGAUCGGAAGGAACGCCCGUGGCGAAAGCGAGGUCCUGGACGUUUUCUGACGCUGAGACGCGAAAGCCAGGGGAGCGAACGGG